UGGCAUACAGGUGCAUACGUAGGUGUAGAGGUAAAGUCCACAUUCAAAUUUUAUCAUGGUAUAUAAUUUUGAUGUAAAAUGUUAUUAGGAUUAUUUCAAAAUCUAUUUUUAUAUCUAAUUAUAAAAUUUUAAAUUUCAAAAAUGGUUAAAAUCAAGUAGAUCUAUAAACAUAUCAAAAUCUUGAAAAUGGACGAUAUAGAUAACAUGUUGUAACAUGCACCAUUUCUGAGAUUUAAAAUCUUUUUAUUUUUCAUAGUCGUACAUCUCGAUGUCGAGAUGAUCAAUCAAAGUGUUUUUCAACAUUAAAACUAUCUUUUCCAAUAGAUUUUUGAGGGGUAACCAUAGUUCUACAUUAUAAGGCAGCAACCUUUCAUAAACUUUUUCCUUUUUUAAAACAUAAAUUCGUUAUUGUAGGAGUAAAGUUUAUAAUGUGCUAGCUAGACAAGAAAAAGUUUACAAU
rnacentral:lncRNA from 1 species